CCGACCUCGGUCUCUAACUGGAGGGCCAAGGAAGAAGAUGGCUCGACAGCGACGACGAUUCUCCGGUCUCUAUUCUCGGCGGCGGGCCGGCGGGUCCUCUCCUUCUCGAGGGCGACCUUUUCCUCCCUCUCCGCUUCCGCCGCCGCUUCCCGCAGCACCACCGGCAGCACCAUCACCUUUCGUCAUUCACCCGCCGUCAAUCGCCUAUCAGUUUAAACUUCUUGGCACUUCUGGGCUUUCUGGAUCCUAUGUGGAGCGUAGAUCAUGAGAAACAUCAUGGAAGUUGGCUGGGCUUCUGUAUUGCCUAUUAAUAGAUGUUUAUGAACUGUGUUUUGAAUGGGACAAUUGAUCAGUUCGGGCUCAAUUUAUACUUACAAGCUGAGAAAAAUCUUUUCAGAAAAAUAGAUAUGCUUUUAGCGGUUGUGAGUGGGAAAUGCCAUUCCUUCUAGUCCCCAAAAUUUCAAUUGAUAUAGCAUGAGGUUGCCAUUGCUUUUAUUACAGCCAUGUGAUGGGAUGUAUGUGCCAUGCUAUACUGGCAUUGCUUGACAAACUGAGAACUGAAAACACCCAAAUUUUUGGAAAAUAUGAUUUCCUUGAGCUCUGGUAUGUGGAGCAACUUCUUAACGUCCUAUAAUAUGGCUGCAGAAUUUGCAUGUUGACAUAUGUUAACUAAGCAUAGUCUGUGAUUUUAGUCUUCUAUCCAUUUUUUCCCCAGACUUAUAUAGUCAGCACUCUUUGGAAAGCCAUGCUAUCUUCUCUUUUUGUGGUAGCUGGAUUGUUUCUCAAAAAAUCGUUACACUUCUGGUUUAGUUGCUGUAUUGGACAGCUAGAAUCAUCAAGAGCGGCAGAAUUUGGCAUCUAUGAGGUGAUACUUGGAGGAAGCUCGAUUUGAGCGCGCAAAGGCUCCUCUAAUUCUCAUGAACCCUCUUCUUGUUGAUGCUUAUUUCAUUCUCAUUCUAUGUUGGUACUCUCUUUUGAUCAGCCAUCCUUUCCAUCAAUAGAUACAUAUCAUUCUCCUCAGAGAUUGAAUUCUGAGCAUCCGACAUGCGAGGAGAGCGGUAUGUGACAGUUAACCAACCGUCUUCUCUACUUCGUCUCAUUUCAAGGAGGUGGUGGGCCUAGUGGCAAAGCCGGUGCAGUUAAUGCAUAUUUGAUCAACCCCAGCUGCCUCAAAGAGACUGGCGAUAUUUGUACCUGGGGGGGGUGAAAAGGCACAGGGAGCGGCCAUUUGUCUAACAAGGCUUUCCAAAAAAAAUCACCUGGCCACUAAAGUCUCCAUCAAAGCAAUUAAGAUAACAGGAUCCCCCAUCUCAGCUUGGGAGAGCAACACUUGUGAAGCACAUGAAAGUCUCUCUCUCUCUCUCUCUCUCACACACACACACACACACACACACACACACACGUAUACUGUAGCAUUUGUCACCGACGUUGAGGAACAGGGCUUUCACGCUGUUUUCAGUGACAAGUCAAAAGGAAGUUUUCAGUGAAAGGUCUCUCAACCUUCCAUGGGCGGCAACAUUAUUUCAUACCGCAAGUGGCAUUUUUUCUUGGAUGUUUGGUGCACCGAUUUAAUGUGACAUGGAAGAAUAACAUUACCUCUAAAGAAAUGGAAGACCAAAUACAUGAUAUAUAUUGGUAGACAUAGACAAGUACUUAUCCAUUGGUUCUGUUGUACUCUUUUCCUUUUGUGGUAGUGCUUUUUUAUUUUUUUGGGGGUACAAUGGUAGUACUUAAUUAAGAGCAGCCUUAUAGUUGAUGGAAAAGAAAGAGUCCAUACGCGUUUGUCCUUGAGGAAAUACAAUGAUAGACACACUAUGAUGAUGUGAAUAAACUCGAGUACUCCUGGUUGCUUCAGAAAAAA